rnacentral:misc_RNA from 1 species
UACGUAGGGGGCGAGCGUUGUCCGGAUUUAUUGGGCGUAAAGGGCGUGUAGGCGGUCCUGUAAGUCAGGGGUGAAAACCCGGAGCUCAACUCCGGGCCUGCCUCUGAAACUGCGGGACUUGAGUGCUCUAGAGGGUAGUGGAAUUGCCGGUGUAGCAGUGAAAUGCGUAGAGAUCGGCAGGAACACCAGUGGCGAAGGCGACUGCCUGGGGAGUAACUGACGCUGAGGCGCGAAAGCUGGGGGAGCAAACGGG